AAAUCUCGCCUUUCAGGCAUCCUCUCCCAAACCUUUUCAAGCCGGCCCAUGUGGCCGGCUUUUUUUUUGGCAAGA
rnacentral:sRNA from 1 species